CUCCGUCCACCGCAUGAGCCCGCAUCCGGACUCUCCGGCAGUCCUCCUCCAACGUGAAUUGCAACAAGAUGCUACGCCUAUCCAAGGAUCCUAUCUGCACUUCCCCUUCCAGACGAAGGAUUUCUCAAAUUUUUGCCCUAAUUGCAUCCAGAAGCGGCCCCCCUUCGCAAAACGCUCAAUCAAGGACAAAUUCUGGCAACAAAUCGAUGCUCUGACCUCCAAUCGACUGAUAAUCCUCUGGAUUUACCUUCAGAUUCUCAAAAAUUACGUUUGAUCAAGACAAAUCUAACUUAUCUCGCCUCAAGAAAUAUGGUCGAACGGUUCGUGCAUUUGUGCAACGAAGAACAGCUUAAUCUCGAAUAUUCUGAACAAUUUCUGGACAAUCAGGUCGUGAAUCAGCAUUUUGCUCACCGAUCGGAGCAUUCUCUACCAACUUGCCGUCGAGAAUCUCACUCUGCUCGAGCUUAAGCUCUUUCUACGCCUCUUCUUCACCUCCGGGCUCUCCUCCAAGUCGGAUAUUUUGCUCAUUUUCCGAUCAAAGUCGCCGGCUUUCGAACGGGUCGUCGCCGAGAAGAACGACUCGUUCUUGGUCCGGUCAAUUAGGAGCAGAUCAGGAAAAGACUGUUUUGUCCCUCA